rnacentral:rRNA from 1 species
GGAACUUAUGAGAAAGUAGUUUUUAUCAGGUAAGCGAAUGAUUAGAGGCUUUUGGGGAAGAAACUUCCUCGACCUAUUCUCAAACUUUAAAUAGGUAAGAUUUUGAAGGAUACUUAAGUGAUCUUUCAAUCUCUUGAAUAUAAAGUUCUUAGUGGGCCAUUUUUGGUAAGCAGAACUGGCGAUGUGGGAUGAACCGAACCGUUAAGUUAAAGUGCCAAAUAAUACGCUCAUGAGAUACCAUAAAAGGUGUUGGUUCAUUUUGACAGCAGGACGGUGGCCAUGGAAGUCGGAACCCGCUAAGGAGUGUGUAACAACUCACCUGCCGAAUGAACUAGCCCUGAAAAUGGAUGGCGCUUAAGCGUAUAACUUAUACUUAACCCUUACUUGAAUUAUAAUAGCGAGUAAGGAGUAGGAGGGCG